AUGCCCAGGGAAGACAGGGCAACCUGGAAUUCUAACUACUUCCUUAAGAUCAUCUUGGAUGAUUAUCCAAAAUGUUUCAUGGUGGGAGCAGAAAAUGUGGGCUCCAAGCCAAUGCAGCAGAUCCUCAUGUCCCUCUGAGGGAAGGUUGUGGCACUGGGCAAGAACAACACGAUGUGCAAAGCCAUCCAGGGACAUCUGGAAACCAACCCACCUCUGGAGGAACUGUUGCUUCAUAUCCAGGGGAAUGUGGGCUUCAUGUUCACCAAGGAGGACCUCACUGGGAUCAGGGACGUGCUGCUGGCCAAUAAGGUGCCAGCUGCCACCCAUGCUUGUGCAGUUGCCCCAUGUGAAGUCAUUGUGCCAUCCCAGAACACUGAUCUGGGGCCAGAGAAGACCUCCUUUUUCCAGGUUUUAGGCAUCACCACUGAAAUCUCCAGGGACACCAUUGAAAUCCUGACUGAUGUGAAGCUGGUUAAGACUGGAGACGAAAUGGAAGCCAGUGAAGCCACACUGCAGAGUGUGCUGAACAUAUCGCCUUUCUCCUUUGGUCUGCUCGUCCAUCAGGUGUUCGACAAUGGCAGCAUCUACUGCCCUGAAGUGCUUGAGAUCACAGGGGGAACUCUGCAUUGUCGCUUCCUGGAGGGUGUCUGCAAUGUUGCCAGUGUUCGUCUGCAGAUUGGUUACCCAGCUGUUGCAUCAGUCCCCCAUUCUAUCAUCAGUGGGUACAAACGAGUCCUGGCUUUGUCUGUGGAGACUGAUUACACCUUCCCACUUGCUGAAAAGGUCAAGGCCUUCUUCACCGAUCCAUCCGCUUUUGUGGCUGCUUCUCUGGUGGCCACCGCCACCACUGCUGCUCCUGCUGCUGCCGUGGCCCCAACCAGGGUUGAAGCCAAGGAAGAGCUGGAGGUGUUGGAUGAGGAUACAGAAUUUGGUCUCUUUGACUAA